rnacentral:piRNA from 2 species
UGUAUGUAAAUAUGUGGACCCAGGAAC